rnacentral:rRNA from 1 species
AUGAACGCUAGCGACAGGCCUAACACAUGCAAGUCAGGGCAGCACAAGGAGCAAUCUGAGGUGGCGACCGGCGCACGGGUGAGUAACACGUAUGCAACCUGCCUGUAAGCGGGGAAUAACCCGUUGAAAGACGGACUAAUACCGCAUAAUACUAAAUUACUGCAUGGUAAUUUAUUUAAACAUUUAUGGCUUACAGAUGGGCAUGCGCAUGAUUAGCUAGUUGGAGAGGUAACGGCUCCCCAAGGCAACGAUCAUCAGGGGUUCUGAGAGGAAGGUCCCCACACUGGUACUGAGACACGGACCAGACUCCUACGGGAGGCAGCAGUGAGGAAUAUUGGUCAAUGGACGAGAGUCUGAACCAGCCAAGUCGCGUGCAGGAAGAAUGUCCUAAUGGAUUGUAAACUGCUUUUGCAGGGGAAUAAAGUGCAUCACGUGUGAUGUUUUGUAUGUACUCUGCGAAUAAGGAUCGGCUAACUCCGUGCCAGCAGCCGC